rnacentral:tRNA from 1 species
GGGGUUGUGGCUCAGAGGUACAAUGCUCACCUAGGAUGUGUGGGGCUCUGGGUUUGAUUCUCAGCAACACAG